rnacentral:rRNA from 1 species
UACGUAGGGGGCGAGCGUUGUCCGGAGUUACUGGGCGUAAAGCGAGCGUAGGCGGUUAUUUAAGUCGGAUGUGAAAUCCCCGGGCUCAACCUGGGAAUUGCAUUCGAUACUGGAUAGCUAGAGUUCGGCAGAGGGAAGCGGAAUUUCGGGUGUAGCGGUGAAAUGCGUAGAUAUCCGAAGGAACAUCAGUGGCGAAAGCGGCUUCCUGGACCAGAACUGACGAUCAGGCGCGAAAGCGUGGGGAGCGAACAGG